rnacentral:tRNA from 1 species
GGUAAGGUGGCCGAAGCAGGUGCCGAGUUGUAGCCUCGGUUAUAAAGGUCAAUCCCCUUUUCUUACCA